CCCACCUCGCAACUCGUCGCCUGGGCAGACGGGGCCUGGGUCUGGCCCAGGGUCUCCCUGUGCUUAGCUGCCCGACACCACCCAGCCAUGAGAAUUGCUGACCUUCAACCGUAAAACCAGGAUAACAAAGAACUAGGAUGACUGAGACCAGGAUGACCCACACUGGACCAACACUUGACCAGUUUCAAGAUCCAUAUCGGAAUGGACUGUGCUGGACUGCAGUCCUGAGUCAAUGCCUAGAUAUACACCUGGACAUAUAACAGACCUUCAGAUACCCCUCUGAUUACACACCGAAGGACUCCUAAUCAGACCAUCUGACAUCCAUUAUCCUGACCACCUGACAUCUGACUGAUAACUGCCCUGGACCAAUCCUGGAUCAACCAGUAAUUCUCAGUGAUAUCUGAGCUGAGCUGCAAGGAAUGAGAAGAAACCUGUCAUGUGAAGAUCUGGGAAGAGAGUGUGCCAAGCAGAGGAACAGCAAGUACAGAUUGUGAGGUAAGGUCAUGCGCUUCGAGCUACCGAGGGAAGACCAGCAUGACCAGAACAUAGUGAUCAAAGAGAGUAAUGGGACAUAAGGGCAGAGACAUUGGCAGGAGGCCAGUUUAUAUGGAGACCAGAUCAUCUAGUGCCUUGUGGACAGUGGCAAGGAGUUUGAAUUUUAUAGGUGCAAUGAGAAACGAUCAGGGUAUGUUCAAGCAGAGAAAGGGUGCCGGAGUCCAUUCAUUGUCUUCACUAGCUGAGUUUAGACAGAGACCCCCCCAAAAGCU